rnacentral:lncRNA from 1 species
UGGAGGGGCCGAGCAAGGCACUUCACAUACAAUGCAAGGUCUCAAUGCUCACAACAGCCCUGGGAAGUAGGUUUUACUAUUCGCAGUGUAUAGACGAGGUAACCGCUCAGAGAGAUUAGCUUUCCCAAGAGCUCCCAGCUUUUAAGUGGAAGAUCUAAAUCCUAAAUCUGUUCGACUAAAAGCCCGGAGUAACUGGGCGGAGGGCCUUGUGCCGCUCCGUGCUGGUCUGAGGUCGGGAACUGUGAAUCAUAUUUAUUUAUGCAACGCUGAGCACGUGUCUGUGUGUGUAAUUCACAAACGAAAAAACAAAUCCAGGUCCGGGUAUCUGUUCUCUGGAAGUUUAGAAGCCUGCGUGGUGGAGAGCUGCCAAAGUCUGCCCUCAUUCAUUCGCUCCUUGGAUCCCGUAAGAAGUGUUUGUGGCGCACUUGGGUAUUCCGGGCGGGGCGCUAAACUAGAAGAGGGGACGGCGAGCCGGCUGCUCCCCAGCCUGACUUGACUUUCUCCGGGGCAAGGGUUAGGGUUAAGGGAAGCAGAAACGGUAUGGAGCCGGCUGGGGCGCGAGCCGCACCGGCGGCGGGGAGCGGGGGGGCGGCGAGCGGCGGCUGGCCGGGGCGGGCGGGCGCCCGGAGGCGGGCUCCCCGAGGCGAGCCCGGGGCCUCCGGCGGAGCGGCGGAGCGGCGGUGGAGAGCCGGGCGAGGGGCCGCGGCACGCGGGCGGGCGGCCGGGCCGGGCGGGCGCGUUAGGGUUAGGGAGGGAGGAUUCGGCUUCCCGGCGGCAGAGGGCGCCUGGCGCUGCCGGCCGGGGCCGCGCGCCCGGGCGCCGGGAGGCGAGGCGGGGAGCGUGAGCGGCGGCCACCGCCACGUCUUCCCGGCAGCGGCAGCGCAGGCGGAGGUGAGCGGCGGCGCGGGCCGGGCCAGGCCGGGCGGGGGGCGGCGGCCCCGUGGUUCCCGCCGCGCCCGCCCCGCGCAGAGCCGGGCGGCUGCCGAGGCCCGGGCCCGGAGCGCGUCCCGAGCGCAACUCGUGCCGGCCGCGGGCGGGGGCCGCGGGGCCGCGCGUCUUUGCGCGGGGCCGGGGUCUCCGCGCUGCGGGCUGGAGCCGCGGCCGGGAAAGUUGGGGCAGACCGCGAGCCCCCGGGCCGGGCGGGAAGUGCGGGCGCGCGGCGGCCCCGGGGGACUGGGGCACGCGGGGCGCCGGAGGCGGCGGGCGCGGGUGUUCGGCGCGCGGAAAGGAAGGGGCGCGAUCGGGGUCCCCGGCUGGAGUCCGCAGCCUGGAGUGGAUGAGCAGUGGAUCCACUUGGAGCAGCCUUGCUCGAAGAAUACCCCCAGGAUCUCUCCUUGCUGUGGGAAUAAUCCAAAUCACCUUUCCUGGAAGUCAGUUUGCUGAAACUACUGAAGCCAGCAGUUCUUGGAAGUUGAAGAAAAGGAGAUCCGGCGCCUUGACCUGAGGGGUGUGGCCCUCCCGUCGGAACCGGCUCCAGACGCGCCCUCCUAGCAGCCCAGGAAGAUGCGGCAGCUCAAGGGGAAGCCCAAGAAGGAGACGUCCCGGGACAAGAAGGAGCGGAAGCAGGCCAUGCAGGAGGCGCGGCGGCAGAUCACCACGGUGGUGCUGCCCACGCUGGCCGUGGUGGUGCUGCUCAUCGUGGUGUUCGUGUACGUGGCCACGCGCCCCGCCAGCACCGAGUGAGGGCGCAGACGAGUGGCUUCCGUGCGCAGGGUUUCCUGAGCUCUGAGCAGGGGCCCCCUGUGUUCUCUGGUCUGUGACUUGAUUAAAGUUUCUCCACUUUUCUCGGGAAGGGAAUAGGGAACGUUUUAUCACUGAAUGUGCCAUACACCUUACGGUCCACUUCAUGUGCCUUUCAGACUUCAAAGCCGUGUGUGUGUGUGUGGGUGUGGGUGUGGGUGUGGUGUGUGGUGUGUGGUGUGUGUUUCUCUCCUCUAAUCAGUAUGUCGACAGCUUCACCUGGUGAGAGGAGGAAUCUCUGGGUCACGGAUCAGUUGGGAUCAGUGCUUCUUACCCCAUCCCUGUCGCUUUGAACAUGACUCUUUCCUACACAUGUUCACGAUUUCCGAAGGGACUGUAAUUCUUCUCUGUGCUUCAUGUGAUUUGAAAUAUAUGUCGACUCAAAAGUGAAAUAUUUAUUUUUUGAAUAAAGGAGGUAAUAGCCUUA